rnacentral:rRNA from 1 species
ACAUGCAGUCGAGGGGUAACAUUGGUGCUUGCACCAGAUGACGACCGGCGCACGGGUGCGUAACGCGUAUACAAUCUGCCUUGUACUGGGGGAUAGCCUUUAGAAAUGAAGAUUAAGACCCCAUAGUAUUAUAGAUUCGCAUGAUGAAAUAAUUAAAGGUUACGGUACAAGAUGAGUAUGCGUCCUAUUAGCUAGAUGGAGUGGUAACGGCACCCCAUGGCGACGAUAGGUAGGGGCCCUGAGAGGGGGAUCCCCCACACUGGUACUGAGACACGGACCAGACUCCUACGGGAGGCAGCAGUGAGGAAUAUUGGACAAUGGGGGCAACCCUGAUCCAGCCAUGCCGCGUGCAGGAAGACUGCCCUAUGGGUUGUAAACUGCUUUUAUACGGGAAGAAACACCGCUACGUGUAGCGGCUUGACGGUACCGUAAGAAUAAGGAUCGGCUAACUCCGUGCCAGCAGCCGCGGUAAUACGGAGGAUCCAAGCGUUAUCCGGAAUCAUUGGGUUUAAAGGGUCCGUAGGUGGGCUGGUCAGUCAGAGGUGAAAUCCCACGGCUCAACCGUGGAACUGCCUUUGAUACUGCUAGUCUUGAGUUAUUAUGAAGUAGUUAGAAUAUGUAGUGUAGCGGUGAAAUGCAUAGAUAUUACAUAGAAUACCAAUUGCGAAGGCAGAUUACUAAUAAUAUACUGACACUGAUGGACGAAAGCGUAGGUAGCGAACGGGAUUAGAUACCCCGGUAGUCUACGCCGUAAACGAUGGAUACUAGCUGUCCGGCUUCGGCUGGGUGGCUAAGCGAAAGUGAUAAGUAUCCCACCUGGGGAGUACGUUCGCAAGAAUGAAACUCAAAGGAAUUGACGGGGGCCCGCACAAGCGGUGGAGCAUGUGG